rnacentral:rRNA from 1 species
AUUGAACGCUGGCGGCAGGCCUAACACAUGCAAGUCGAACGGUAACAGGAAGCAGCUUGCUGCUUUGCUGACGAGUGGCGGACGGGUGAGUAAUGUCUGGGAAACUGCCUGAUGGAGGGGGAUAACUACUGGAAACGGUAGCUAAUACCGCAUAACGUCGCAAGACCAAAGAGGGGGACCUUAGGGCCUCUUGCCAUCGGAUGUGCCCAGAUGGGAUUAGCUAGUAGGUGGGGUAACGGCUCACCUAGUCGACGAUCCCUAGCUGGUCUGAGAGGAUGACCAGCCACACUGGAACUGAGACACGGUCCAGACUCCUACGGGAGGCAGCAGUGGGGAAUAUUGCACAAUGGGCGCAAGCCUGAUGCAGCCAUGCCGCGUGUAUGAAGAAGGCCUUCGGGUUGUAAAGUACUUUCAGCGGGGAGGAAGGGAGUAAAGUUAAUACCUUUGCUAAUUGACGUUACCCGCAGAAGAAGCACCGGCUAACUCCGUG